UACGGAGGGUGCAAGCGUUGCUCGGAAUUAUUGGGCGUAAAGCGUAUGUAGGCGGUUUUCUAAGUCUGAUGUGAAAUCCCGGGGCUCAACCCCGGAACUGCAUUGGAUACUGGAAAGCUAGAGGACGAUAGAGGAUGGUGGAAUUCCAGGUGGUAGGGGUGAAAUCCGUAGAUAUCUGGAGGAACAUCAGUGGCGAAGGCGGCCAUCUGGAUCGUACCUGACGCUGAGAUACGAAAGCGUGGGGAGCAACAGG
rnacentral:rRNA from 1 species